UUCCCCAUACCUCAAAAAAGAAUAAUUAUACUUCUGCAAAUUUAGACUUUUGAGACGGAUUUUCAGUACAUUUUUCCUUUAUUAUAUUCAAAUAUCAGAGUUGAUCCUUGGCAUCAAGUCAUAUUCAAAUAAGAAUAUCAACUUUGAAGCCCCAAAAUGGCGUCUCCUUUGAUAAUGAUGCAAUUAAUGACGUAAAUAAAAAGGUUCUAUAGAAGAAGAAUUAAUGUUUCUUUCCUUUAUAAUUAUUUUUGCUAAGGUGAGAUAGUAAGGGGGCACUACUUAUCAGAAGAUGGCUCUGAGAGAAAAAAUAAGGCCAUAUUUGGAAUCAGAGGAUCGAACUCUAUUAAAUUGAGCAUAUACUGUUUUUCUACCAUUUUUGCUGCUGUUACACAGUGUUAUCGACAGAUGCUAAAUCAUUAUUGUAUAUUGAUACAUUUAAUGAAGCAUCUGAUCAGGAUUUUACUUUAUAUUUUUAUAUUAAAUGUCUAUUAUUUUCAUAAAUAUCAAAAUAAAUACAAUAAAAAUCAUAAGAAAUUAGUCAAA
rnacentral:lncRNA from 1 species